rnacentral:rRNA from 1 species
AACCCUGAUCCAGCCAUGCCGCGUGAUCGAUGAAGGCCUUAGGGUUGUAAGAUCUUUCAGCUGGGAAGAUAAUGACGGUACCAGCAGAAGAAGCCCCGGCUAACUCCGUGCCAGCAGCCGCGGUAAUACGAGGGGGCUAGCGUUGUUCGGAAUUACUGGGCGUAAAGCGCACGUAGGCGGACCAGUCAGUUGGGGGUGAAAUCCCGGGGCUCAACCCCGGAACUGCCUCCAAAACUGCUGGUCUGGAGGUCGAGAGAGGCGAGUGGAAUUCCGAGUGUAGAGGUGAAAUUCGUAGAUAUUCGGAGGAACACCAGUGGCGAAGGCGGCUCGCUGGCUCGAUACUGACGCUGAGGUGCGAAAGCGUGGGGAGCGAACAGGAUUAGAUACCCUGGUAGUCCACGCCGUAAACUAUGAGAGCUAGACGUCGGGCGGCUUGCCGUUCGGUGUCGCAGCUAACGCAUUAAGCUCUCCGCCUGGGGAGUACGGCCGCAAGGUUA